AUUGAACGCUGGCGGCAGGCCUAACACAUGCAAGUCGAGCGGAUGAAGGGAGCUUGCUCCUGGAUUCAGCGGCGGACGGGUGAGUAAUGCCUAGGAAUCUGCCUGGUAGUGGGGGAUAACGUCCGGAAACGGGCGCUAAUACCGCAUACGUCCUGAGGGAGAAAGUGGGGGAUCUUCGGACCUCACGCUAUCAGAUGAGCCUAGGUCGGAUUAGCUAGUUGGUGGGGUAAAGGCCUACCAAGGCGACGAUCCGUAACUGGUCUGAGAGGAUGAUCAGUCACACUGGAACUGAGACACGGUCCAGACUCCUACGGGAGGCAGCAGCGGGGAAUAUUGGACAAUGGGCGAAAGCCUGAUCCAGCCAUGCCGCGUGUGUGAAGAAGGUCUUCGGAUUGUAAAGCACUUUAAGUUGGGAGGAAGGGCAGUAAGUUAAUACCUUGCUGUUUUGACGUUAUCAACAGAAUAAGCACCGGCUAACUUCGUG
rnacentral:rRNA from 1 species